GUGUACCAGUUGUCGUGCCAACGGCAUAGCUGGGUAGCUAUGUAUGGACGGGAUAAGUGCUGAAAGCAUCUAAGCAUGAAGCCCCCCUCAAGAUGAGAUUUCCCAACUUCGGUUAUAAGAUCCCUCGAAGAUGACGAGGUUAAUAGGUUCGAGGUGGAAGCGUGGUGACACGUGGAGCUGACGAAUACUAAUCGAUCGAAGACUUAAUCAA
rnacentral:rRNA from 1 species